UACAGAGGGUGCGAGCGUUAAUCGGAAUUACUGGGCGUAAAGCGUGCGUAGACGGUAGCGUAAGUCAGAUGUGAAAGCCCCGGGCUCAACCUGGGAACUGCAUUUGAGACUGCUCUGCUCGGGUGCGGAAGAGGGAAGCGGAAUUUCCGGUGUAGCGGUGAAAUGCGUAGAUAUCGGAAGGAACACCAGUGGCGAAAGCGGCUUCCUGGACCAGCACUGACACUCAGGCACGAAAGCGUGGGGAGCAAACAGG
rnacentral:rRNA from 1 species